rnacentral:rRNA from 1 species
UNGCGAAUGCCUCCUAGGAUUAAAGUUUGAUCCUGGCUCAGACUUGAACGCUGGCGGCAGGCCUAACACAUGCAAAGUCGAGCGGAUGACGGGAGCUUGCUCCUUGAUUCAGCGGCGGACGGGUGAGUAAUGCCUAGAGAAUCUGCCUGGUAGUGGGGGACAACGUUUCGAAAGGAACGCUAAUACCGCAUACGUCACUAACGAGGAGAAAGCAGGGGAACCCACUUUCCGAGUGCCCAUUUGACAGACCUUNAUCAAGAUGAGCCUAGUGUCAGGAUUAGC